rnacentral:rRNA from 1 species
UGGGGAAUAUUGGACAAUGGGGGCAACCCUGAUCCAGCAAUGCCGCGUGUGUGAAGAAGGCCUUCGGGUUGUAAAGCACUUUAGGCUAAGAGGAAGUUGCGUAGUUUAAGAGAUAACGUAAUUGACUGUAUUAGCAGAAUAAGCACCGGCUAACUCUGUGCCAGCAGCCGCGGUAAUACAGAGGGUGCAAGCGUUAAUCGGAGUUACUGGGCGUAAAGGGCGCGUAGGCGGUUAUUUAAGUUUCAUGUGAAAUCCCUGGGCUUAACCUAGGAACUGCAUGAGAUACUGGAUAGCUAGAGUACUGUAGAGGGUAGUGGAAUUUCCGGUGUAGCGGUGAAAUGCGUAGAGAUCGGAAGGAACACCAGUGGCGAAGGCGGCUACCUGGACAGAUACUGACGCUGAGGCGCGAGAGCGUGGGGAGCAAACAGGAUUAGAUACCCACGUAGUCCCUGAGCGGGCUGGCAAGGCGCAU